AGGUAACGUACUGUGUGCCGGGUUUCUCCUGACCCUCCCACCACCACUCCCAGUUCUCCAACCGUGGGCUCUGCCUCAGCGCGGAGGCUUCUCCUGGACUGCAGAAUUGCAACUCCUAAGAUUGAGCAGAAAGAGAACGUGCGUAGAAGAUCAUCCCAAGAGAAGUUAAAAUGCAACUAUCAGAGAUAAGCGGAGAGUCACAGUGAGGCGAGCUUCCUCUCAUGCAGCCAGAGGAUGUUGCCUCUCUGGCUGAAUUCACGGGAAGGAUAUAGUACGUAGCCUGACUCAAGAUGGAUGCCACUUACAGAGGAUAUGUGUCUUUUGUUUUACAAGUGCAUGUCCUACUCUGCGAGCAGUAAUCUUGCUCCGACAACAGAACGCUGGCAGUUUCCAGUUUCCACAGGAAGGCAGAGGAAGCUAGAGGACGCCGAUUAGGCUGCAGAUGUAGAAGAGGGAGCCAAUGACACGACGGCCAAAACACUCCCUCCGGAGAACAGUGUCUUCAAACAUAAUUACUGGAAAGUUAAACUAUUGACAUUUUUGCCUUUAUAGCACUUCCAUCUCCUGUGUAAAUAUGGAAAUUAUUUUAGCACGAGUGAUGUAUUGUCAGAUUAGCUGGAAGUUGCUGCCCUCUUGAGGUUUCAUGUUUCAGCAGGCAGAUCUCUAAAAGACAAAUAAAAAGGUGCUGUUGGAAGCUGACAGUCAAGGCUUAUAUGACCCACACCACACCCAGUGACUCGGAUAAGAAAAUUGAAUAAUGAAUGCUACAUGCCACUUGUCUUUUAUUAAAUACUACCUUGUGGCAGUGUCUGGACAUGUUGUUACUGUUAGCAGUUUCAACAAUCUCUUCAUUAUGUUUAGUUUAUUAGUUUGACAAUUUAUUGAUUAAUUUUAUAUGCUAUAACUAUAUAGCCAGCACUAUUAUUUUAGUCAUAAUCUGUUACUUUUAACAAAAAUAUUUGCACCAUUUACUUUUAGCAAAAAAUAAAGUGCUAUUGCUAGUUUAU